AUGACUGAUAAGAACUAUAACAUCGCAUUGUGAGAUGCUCCGCCCAGAGGGAGUAGCCAAGCAUUCCUACCUGGCUAUAAUCAGGUAUUUCAAACACCAUAAGCAGCCUUUUCGCACUGGAUUCCCAGAGGAGCAACUGUCUUCUCCACUGUAUUCCCAGAGGAAGACCAGGCCCACCACCAGACCUUCAGAGGAAAACUACACCCUCCUACAGGACCACUGCUUCAACUGAACCAUAUCUGUCACUCCAGAAGGACUGCAGCCACCAUUCAAUCGGACUGCUAUCAACACCCUGACCCACAGGGUGUCAGAAGACUAGACUGGAGUGGGCUGUGGGAAGCAGGAACAAAGAGGCAAGAUUUUCCUGGUGUUACCAAGAGGAAAGGAGAGGGGACAGCUGCUGCUCAGAACUUCAGCGACAGACUCUGCACGCCUCCUCCCCCUUCGGCUACCUGGAAAAAGUUAAAACAGUGGGGGCAAGCUCUGAGUCGAGCCCCCUUCCCAGCUGAUCUUUUUAAUAAAGAGUUGAACAUUAAUAAAGGCAUAAACCCUGUUCAUU